GAAUUGAUAGAAAAAAAAUAAGAAAUUAAAUUGUGGAUUAGUUGUAACAACGUAAAUUGAUAGAAAAUAGCAACGUAAUUGAUAUAGAAGAAAUAAAACAUAAAAACAAGAAAUUGACAAAGUGAUAAAACGAAGAUCAUAAGAAUAGUUUUGGAAAUAAAAUGAAUAAAUGUGGAUAAUAAUGACAUUUUAAUUAAAUAUUAAAUAGCUUACCUCUCAUCUCCUCCAAAACCUUCUAAUUUGGGGAAAAGCAAAAAAUGGAUCUAGGAGGGAUUUUACUCACCUCCUCUCCCCUCCCCUUCCCUCCUAAAAAUUGAACCAAACAUAAAAAAUUAAAAAUAUCCCUUACAUUCCCUCCCCUCC
rnacentral:lncRNA from 1 species